AGAAGAUCUCAGAAUGCAGGUGUCAUCUGCAUUAUUAAACAUAUUCAAUCCUACUCCUGUACUUGGCUCACUGAAAACCAGUGUCCAUGAGAACUUGGCUGCCACUGAGAAAGGAUAACCCAGUGCCGACAUUGCAAUACUUCUUGGUUAUUUAAACUCAAAUGCGCACAAAACAAAUCAGUUAUCAGUUAAAAAUCAUAGUGAGGUCUACUACAAGUAACACUUCUUCAAAACGCACAAAAAACUAGGAAAACUUCACAAUGCAUUUUGCAAACCAUGUAGAUAAAGUAGUUGUGGUUAAGAAAGUCUUCACUCC